ACCCCUGUCGCAUAAUGGUAGUGCGUCACCCUGUUAAGGUGAAAGGUGUAGGUUCGAAUCCUACUGGGGGUG
rnacentral:tRNA from 1 species